UACGUAGGUGGCAAGCGUUGUCCGGAUUUACUGGGCGUAAAGAGCGCGCAGGCGGUCGUUCAAGUCGCGUGUGAAAGCCCCCGGCUCAACUGGGGAGGGUCACGCGAUACUGAUCGACUCGAAGGCAGGAGAGGGUAGUGGAAUUCCCGGUGUAGUGGUGAAAUGCGUAGAUAUCGGGAGGAACACCAGUGGCGAAGGCGGCUCACUGGACCGGUACUGACGCUGAUGCGCGAAAGCGUGGGGAGCAAACGGG
rnacentral:rRNA from 1 species